rnacentral:lncRNA from 1 species
GUUUAUUCAUUAGUUAUUGAGGUUUAAAUUUGUUAUAGGAAUUACUAGGAUUUAGUUUAGGAUUUGGUUGGAGUUUGGUUUAGGGUUUAGGAUUUGGAUUAGGAUUUGAUUUAGGGUUUAGGAUUUGAUUAGGAUUUGAUUUAGGAUUUAGUAUUUGUAUUAGGGUUUGAUUUAGGAUUUGGUUUAGGAUUUGGUUUAGGAUUUGAUUGGAGUUUGGUUUAAGGUUGUUUAGGGUUUGAUUUAGGGUUUGGUUUAGGAUUUGGUUAGGAUUUAGGAUUAUGGAUUAGGAUUUGGUUAGGAUUUAGGAUUUGGUUUAGGAUUUUGUUAGGAUUUAGGAUUAUGGAUUAGGAUUUGGUUAGGAUUUAGGAUUUGGUUUAGGAUUUAGGAUUUGUUUUAGGAUUCGGUUUAGGAUUUAGAGUUUGGUUUAGGAUUUGAUUAGAGAUUGGUUUAAGGUUUAGGAUUUGAUUAAGGUUUGAUUAGGAUUUGGUUGGCAUUUAAUUUAAGGUUUAUUUAGGGUUUGAUUUAGGGUUUAGGAUUUUAUUAGGAUUUAAGAUUCAAUUAGUUUUGGCCUAAAGUUUGAAUGAAGUUCAAUAGGAUUUUAACUAAAAUUAAAUUAAGAUUGAAUUGAGAUGCAUUUGAAUGAUAUUUGUGAUCCUUUUAAUAUUUCUUUAAGAAUUCCUAUUGUUUGUUUGAAAUUUCUUUGAGGUUUUUUUUAAUUUGAUUAAGCUUGUUUAGCAUUAUUAUGGUCUAAUUAGAGCAUUGUUAGUAUU